UCUGUCUAUGGUGUAGUUGGUAGCACCUUGGCUUAAUAAUUCUAAGUCCCAGGUUCAAGUCCCGGUCGUGGUAAAA